UGUAAUUUUGAAAGACCGUCCUUCUUCGCCAACCAUUUUGUACAUGCAAUAGAUAUAAAUUCAUGCGCAGUCAAAAAAUCUGUUCCAUCUUUUCCACCCACAAAAAAUAUCUAGCGAAGUAUAUUCUCUAACAUUUGACGUACUUUCCCCCUUAGUUGAUGCAGACACACCCCCUGACGGCUUUGAAAUCCCGCCUUUUUCGGUCACAGUUCACUUCAAAAAAAAGAUAUUACACGUGUCGGUCGUCCUUCAUAAAAUUCCGGAUAAAUGCAUCUGUUUAGAACCUGGUGAAACGCAUUUUCAUCUAAACACAGGUAAAUUUUCAAAGAAAUACCAUCUGAAUUUCACAUACCCCCAGCGCAUCAAGGUAAAAACGCGUAAUAUCAAGGCUGAGUUGAACCAUGGAGUACUCGACGUAUUCUUUCAAAUAGACCAAAUAGAAGACAAGAAUUCUGGGAAGCUUCUCGCAAGAAAAUCCAGCCUGCAUAAAAAUUCAAAAGUACUUCAAAAAGCAUCGCGCGCAAGACCAGACGAAAACAAGGACAAUCAAGCCACUUGUCGCCAAGAGAAAAAUGCUGUCAAAUGUUCGAGAGGAAAAGUAUUAUCCACUAAAGAAAAAGACAUUCGUAUGUCAAAGAGCAUUGAAAAGAAGCUAAGAUGCCAGGUUCUUCAAGGUCUGCAAAAGGAACAAAAAAAAAUAGAAUAUCUCAGAAAGAAACAAAUUCAAAAGGAACAACAAAAACAAAAACUCCAAAAACAAAAAGAAAAGAUAUUGAAGCCGUUAAUACAAAGCUACAUAAAAAAACCCACCAAAAGAAUAGUUCGAUUUAAAGAUGAUGAGCACACGGUGCCUUUAAAAAAAACCGCAACAUCGAAAUCAAAAAGCUGAUAUGCUUGUUGGCACGGACAAUAUGGAAGCAAGAUGCUUCCCAUAACAACGAAAGUUUUGUACCUUCGGUUAUAAAAAAUACAUUUCUUUGACAACAACGAAUUCGAUAAAAACUGUUAUUAUUCGAUCAAUGUUGGUCCGCUGUACGCGCAUGCGGUCAACUGCGGUUGAUGUACUCGAUAUAGUAGGAUAAAGCUGUAAACAUGACCGAGUCGAGGUGUUUACCAUGUGCUCGAAAUCCGGUCUAUGCAGCAAAUAGUCCCAAUUUAUUAGGCAAUAUCGUAUAAGAGCCUCUUGCGAAUUUUAACGGACAAAAAUGGUGGCGCACGAACCGUGUUUUGUUGCGCAAAAAAAAGCCUAUGCACAAGUCAACAAGACGUGUUCGAGAACUGACAAAAU